AUUCGGCUGACGAGUCUCAAACAGUACGAAACAAUUGUCCUAGAU
rnacentral:hammerhead_ribozyme from 1 species